rnacentral:rRNA from 1 species
GACGUAGGGCGCGAGCGUUGUCCGGAUUUAUUGGGCGUAAAGAGCUCGUAGGCGGCUUGUCGCGUCGACUGUGAAAACCCGUGGCUCAACCAUGUGGUCUGCAGUCGAUACGGGCAGGCUAGAGUUCGGUAGGGGAGACUGGAAUUCCUGGUGUAGCGGUGAAAUGCGCAGAUAUCAGGAGGAACACCGGUGGCGAAGGCGGGUCUCUGGGCCGAUACUGACGCUGAGGAGCGAAAGCGUGGGGAGCGAACAGG